rnacentral:tRNA from 1 species
UGGCUCAGUGGUAGAGUGCUUGCCUCACAUGCAUGAGGCCCUGGGUUUGAUUCCCCAG